GAUUUGGGAUAUACUAGACCCUCAUUGUAACUCUAGGUAUGAACAACAUAUAAUUUAGUUACAAAGUAGAUCCCUUUAAAGCAGGUUAGCAACUGAAGUUUCAAAAGAACUUCUUUAUUCUAAAGAGGUCUUAUCUCCAGAGUGCUUCACAGCAUAAACCCUGAAGACAUGAGCGUAACACAAAUCUAGUGUGUGUAUAUUACAGACUCAGGAUACUCCCAACAAUAACCACAGAAAACAACUCUUUUAUGAACCAAACACCCCACUGUGUGUAUUAUGACUAACGGGCUCAAUCAGAAAUAAAUUACUUUGUUCACCCUCUUCCUGCAUAGUAGCUUAACAACUAGUUGGUAUGUACACUACCUACAGCAUUAUUUAAAUAAAUUGCUUCUGUAAGCAUAUAUGUAGAAAUUCCCAUUAGCAACUGAUAUACAUUUCAUAUGAGAUACAAUACAUAAACACAUUUGAAUGCCCAGCACCUUCUUUCAGACAG
rnacentral:lncRNA from 1 species